GAUGAACGCUGGCGGCGUGCCUAAUACAUGCAAGUCGAGCGAACAGAUAAGGAGCUUGCUCCUUUGACGUUAGCGGCGGACGGGUGAGUAACACGUGGGUAACCUACCUAUAAGACUGGGAUCACUUCGGGAAACCGGAGCUAAUACCGGAUAACAUUUGGAACCGCAUGGUUCUAAAGAGAAAGAUGGUUUUGCUAUCACUUAUAGAUGGACCCGCGCCGUAUUAGCUAGUUGGUAAGGUAACGGCUUACCAAGGCGACGAUACGUAGCCGACCUGAGAGGGGGAUAGGCCACACUGGAACUGAGACGCGGUCAAGAGUCCUACGGGAGGCAGCAGAAGGGAACCUUCCGCAAUGGGCGAAAGCCUGACGGAGCAACGCCGCGUGAGUGAUGAAGGGUUUCGGCUCGUAAAACUCGGUUAUUAGGGAAGAACAAACGUGGAAGUAACUGUGCACGUCUUGACGGUACCUAAUCAGAAAGCCACGGCUAACUACGUG
rnacentral:rRNA from 1 species